rnacentral:rRNA from 1 species
CACGUAGGGGGCGAGCGUUGUCCGGAUUUAUUGGGCGUAAAGAGCUCGUAGGCGGCUCAGUAAGUCGGGUGUGAAAACUCCAGGCUCAACCUGGAGACGCCACCCGAUACUGCUGUGGCUAGAGUCCGGUAGGGGAGCAUGGAAUUCCUGGUGUAGCGGUGAAAUGCGCAGAUAUCAGGAGGAACACCAGUGGCGAAGGCGGACGA